CCUGCACAAGCUCUCUUUCUUUGCCUGCUGCCAUCCAUGUAAGACAUGACUUGCUUUUCCUUUCUUUCCACCAUGAUUGUGAGGCCUCCCAAGCCACGUGGAACUAUCAUAAUGCCUGGUUAUGGCAAAAAGACCGCAAUUCCCACCAGAGAGCAAAAAGGAAGUAAAGCUACCAUUGUUGAUCUGAAACUAAAUGGAUUCUUGUCCGUUGUGAGGAGCAGCAGCCUACAAAGCACACUGAAUGCCAAAUGUGUUGCACCAGGGCUACAGGGAGUCGACUGCUCACAGAAAGCAAGCAUUCUGUUCUAAUUCUGUGCUGUAAGCUUUGCAAUAAGAGGCUCCAUAUGAGAAGGCUGGUGGUUGCCCAGCUGGGCUUAUGACAGACACACCCAGAUGUUUUUAAUCUAUGCAAAAUAAUGAUGGAUACUUGCUACCUUCUUCAACUAAUUUUCAAGAUGUAUUUAUAUAAAAUAAAAGAGUCUUUUAAAGCACAACUUUUUUCAAAUGUAUUUGUUACUGCACCUUUUGCCCUGGAAAAUUAUUUUUCUAUUUUUAUUUUUAUUUUUUGAGACAGGGUCUCACUCUGUCACCCAGGUUGGAGUGCAGUGGUGUGAUCACAGAUCACUGCAGCCUCGACCCCCACAGGCUCAAGUGAUCCUCCCACCUCAGGCCCCUGAGUAGCUGGGACUACAGGCAUGCACCACUAUACCAGCUGAUUUUUAAAACUUUUUGUAGAGACAGAAUCUCACUACAUUGCCCAAGCUAGUCUCAAACUUCUGGUCUCGAGCCACCCUCCCACCUCAGCCUCCCAAUGUGCUGGGAUUACAGGCAUACGCCACCACACCCAGCCUUAUUAUUUUGCUCUUUAGAGAUAAGAUAUCCAAACUUCAAAAAUAUUGUUAAUUUGGUACAAGUUAAAUCUCAGAAAUUUUGGAAACAAUCGCCUUCUGUAAUAUAUGUAAAAUAUUAUACACAGUGUCUGGCAUACAGUUAGUGCUAAAUAAAAGUUUUUC
rnacentral:lncRNA from 10 species